UUUCCGUAGGUGAACCUGCGGAAGGAUCAUUAAUGAAUUUAAGGGUGUCCUCUUCAUCAGAGGGACCCGACCUUCAUUUCCAACACUGUGAACCCAAAAUAUCGAGGGAGCUCGCAAGAGCUGGACUCGUAUUUCAUUUUAAAACUCUAUAGUUAAAGAAUGUAAACAAACCAAAACAAAAAAAACUUUCAACAACGGAUCUCUUGGCUCUCGCAUCGAUGAAGAACGCAGC
rnacentral:misc_RNA from 1 species